CAGAGCUCAAUCCAUCCACAAAUGACUGGCUCACAGGUCACCUCACCGCGGAAUUUUACGGCGCAGUGGAGCAGCUGCCCGUCCACCCGCCUCUCGACUGCCUCCUUCCCUCACCUCUGAAGAAACGGCGCGGCGCUGCCUGCUAGCUAGCUGGGUGAAGCAAUUAAGCUGGUGGUGGCAUCCAUGGCCAUUCUUUCGCUCAGGCUUGCUGCCAGCGCCGGUUUCGCGGCUCCGCCUUAUCCUAGGAACCGCAGUGGCGGCUUCGCUUUCUCCUCUUCCUCGUGCCGCGCGGUUGCCGCAGCGGCAGGACCCGGGCUGCCGAUCACCGUCGCCGGGGACCCACCCACGGUCGUGUCCGCGCCCGGCCGCCGCAUUGUCGCGAUUGGUGAUGUCCACGGCGAUCUCUACCAAACCAGAGCCGCGCUAAAGAUGGCCGGCGUCCUGAGCGUGGAAUCAGAUGGCCAUGUCUGGACAGGCGGACGGACGGUACUCGUUCAAGUCGGUGAUAUCCUUGACCGCGGCGAGGAUGAAAUUGCUAUACUAUCUCUAUUGAGCUCACUGAAUGUGCAAGCCAAAUCUCACGGGGGUGCUGUAUUUCAGGUUAACGGAAAUCAUGAAACUAUGAAUGUGGAAGGUGAUUUCCGGUACGUAGAUCCUGGAGGCUUUGAUGAGUGCAUACGCUUCCUCGAGUACUUGGAUGAAUGUGAUGGUAACUGGGAUGAUGCCUUUCUCAACUGGGUUAAUGUCGCUGAAAGGAGGAAGAAAGAAUAUGGAGCUUCGCCUAAUGGUGACUGGCGUCCUUGGAACUUUGUCAAGAAGCAGAAAGGAAUUGCCGCAAGAACAUCGCUUUUCAAGAGAGGUGGCCUAUUAGCGUGUGAAUUGGCGCGACAUCCUGUUGUCCUUAAGAUCAAUGACUGGAUAUUUUGUCACGGUGGCCUUCUUCCUCAUCAUGCUGAAUACGGGAUCGAGCGCAUGAACAAAGAAGUAUCAAUGUGGAUGAAAUGUUCAGGUGAAGACAGUGAUGAUGAAACAGAUAUCCCCUUCAUAGCUACUAGAGGUUACGACAGUGUGGUAUGGAGUCGCUUGUACUCGCAAGACCCUGCUGAAAGGACGCGCCGCUCUUUGAUGCUAUCUUCUGUUGUUGCUGAACAAACGCUGAAAACUGUGGGAGCCAAGGGGAUGGUCGUAGGGCACACGCCACAGACCCACGGAGUGAAUUGCAAAUGCGAUGGAAAAGUUUGGUGUGUUGAUGUGGGCAUGUCUUAUGGUGUUCUCUACUCAAGACCGGAGGUCCUAGAAAUAGUCAAUGAUAGACCGAGGGUUUUGAAGAAGCAGAGGGACUCGUAUGAUGAGAUGGAAGUGCUAGACUAUUUAUAAAACAUUGAGAAUCUUAUGUAUAUAAUAGCAAACAUUAUUUGUCCUGAAAGCUACUGUACCAGAUAAUUUGGGAGGAAAUAUAGGAAGGAAUAUGCUAGAGCUAUAAACAUAAACAUCAGAAGGAAGGUCUUCACAUUGUGGUUAACUCUUGUAGAAAACUGCAGAUGUCACACAUGAAAGCCGAAGGUCUGUGGCUUCCUUCACAAAGUCGGAUCAAAUUUUUGGUGGCGCUUCUUUGUAUCAGCAUUCAAAGAUCUCUCAAUCAGAUUGCUCAUAGCCUUCUUCAGAGCUUUCUGUAGGAAUCAGGAACCACACAAAUAGUAGAAUGAGUUGGAGAAUACAUGUACAUGAUCAGGCUUCUCAUGUAACUGUUGUGUUAUAUUAAAAACAAGAACUCGACCACGGGAAGAAGACGUCUCCUUAGCUUUGUCUUAAGAGAGAGAAAUACCAAACCUUUAAGGAUAUGCUCACAUGACCUGCGAGCACUCAGGUUCGAGCCCGGAUGGGCGGCCUCACAACUAGAGGCUCUAUCAACCGAGCUAUUGUCCGGUUUUCUGUCUUCAACAAACUAAUUCUCCUUCUUACCUUCUAAUAGCUGCCUUAAAAAUGCAAGUUUGCAUAGAAUCUGCAAGCAGUGUAACACCAAACCAUGGAAGAAAAAACAAUCGGAGAUGAAUAUAUUGGACCACCAGCA